rnacentral:sRNA from 1 species
AACAUGCCCGCGUUAGCGAUUGCAGUGGUUAGCUUUUGCCGUGAGGCUAGAGUUGUGGGAAGGCAAAACUAUGAACGUAAAGCGCGACCCGCA